UAGGGAAUCUUCCGCAAUGGGCGAAAGCCUGACGGAGCAACGCCGCGUGAGUGAUGAAGGUCUUCGGAUCGUAAAACUCUGUUAUUAGGGGAGAACAAAUGUGUAAGUAACUAUGCACGUCUUGACGGUACCUAAUCAGAAAGCCACGGCUAACUACGUGCCAGCAGCCGCGGUAAUACGUAGGUGGCAAGCGUUAUCCGGAAUUAUUGGGCGUAAAGCGCGCGUAGGCGGUUUUUUAAGUCUGAUGUGAAAGCCCACGGCUCAACCGUGGAGGGUCAUUGGAAACUGGAAAACUUGAGUGCAGAAGAGGAAAGUGGAAUUCCAUGUGUAGCGGUGAAAUGCGCAGAGAUAUGGAGGAACACCAGUGGCGAAGGCGACUUUCUGGUCUGUAACUGACGCUGAUGUGCGAAAGCGUGGGGAUCAAACAGG
rnacentral:rRNA from 1 species